AUUGAACGCUGGCGGCAGGCCUAACACAUGCAAGUCGAACGAGUGGCGGACGGGUGAGUAAUGUCUGGGAAACUGCCUGAUGGAGGGGGAUAACUACUGGAAACGGUAGCUAAUCCCGCAUACCAUCGGAUGUGCCCAGAUGGGAUGAGCUAGUAGGUGGGGAAACGGCUCCCCUAGGCGACGCUCCCUAGCUGGUCUGAGAGGAUGACCAGCCACCCUGGAACUGAACCCCGGUCCAGCCUCCUACGGAGGCAGCAGUGGGGAAUAUUGCACAAUGGGCGCAAGCCUGAUGCAGCCAUGCCGCGUGUAUGAAGAAGGCCUUCGGGUUGUAAAGUACUUUCAGCGGGGAGGCGUUACCCGCAGAAGAAGCACCGGCUAACUCCGUGCCAGCCGCCGCGGUAAUAC
rnacentral:rRNA from 1 species